CCGUCGGCCCCUCGCGACGCUAGGUCGAAAACCCCGCCAGGGCCGGAAGGCAGCAACGGUAUCGAUCGACGCGGGCGCCGCGGCCCGCCGG
rnacentral:SRP_RNA from 1 species